GAGCCACACAUCAGCACCACCGUGAUGCUCCCCUUCCUGCAAGGGUCUUCCCUCCCYGCUGUUCCAGCUUCGCGUCCGAUGAGAGACCAGAUGGGGACAACUCUGAUAUUACAGAUGUUUGCCUGUUCACACUCCGCUCCUACAGGCUUAUGAAGAAGGGGAAAACCAAGAAACAACCAACCCUCCAAAAAUCCUAAAAUAUCUACAGUUUCUCCUAACUUUUCUAUCAAAGUAAUAUUAUUUUAACAUAUUUUGCUACUGGAAAAAUUGUAGAUAACUUCAGUCAUUCAUCUUGUCUUCUCUAUGCUUUUUUUUUUUUUUUAAUGAAUGUAUGGACGGUGGAGGGAGAGGAGUCAAGUUAAGCUCGCAGGUUUACAAUUCCUCAUAUCUACCUAUCCCUUCUUUUCAAAGGUACAUCUAUUUUCAGUAGUCUAGUACUUCAUCUUCUAAAUCUUGAGACACUUUCAAUAACUCUAAGCCCAUUCACAGGAUUCAAGGACUGAUUUCACCUUGCCUAAUUAUUUGCAAAGAUCUAGGUUCUCUCUAAUUCAUUCUUUUAAAACUCUAGGCAGUAGACUAAUGUUUUGCUCCUUGGUCACAAGCACUACAUACACCCAUCCUGAGUAUGAAGGAAUCGAGUAGUCUGCCACCUCCUACAUGCUCCCUGUGUUUGGCUUGCAAGUCAAUUACGCUUGAAAUUCAACUCAUUUUCAGCCUUCUGUUAUAUUUUGUUGUCUUCCACAUCUUUCUUUGCUUUUGGUCUGCUCCAAGAGGAAAGAUAUGAUUUAAGGCCAAACAGCAAGUACACGCUACAGGCUUGAUUUCUGGUCAUUCACUGUGCCAAAAACCAGAAGAAAGGAGAAGAAACCUCAGAAGACCAUGGUAUGGAGAGCUGUCCAGAAGGGCAACAGCUGGAACAUCACCUGACGCUUCUGUAUGCCUGGUCAGCAGCUCUGUAUCCAUUAACAGCUUUCCCAAGGAAGUCUGGGCCUUUGCCAGUGAAAUGCUGUGACAAGCAGGGCUACUCCUUGGACCUUUACACCCUAAGCACCGUUGGUAGAAGUGGACACACUUAGCAGGYCCACUGAAGAGCUACUCUGUAACUAGAAAAACAUUAUUCA